AUGCCCCUCAAACAAAGAAGUCGUACUCUUUACAAAAGUGUGUGGCCAGGGAUUUCUUCCAGACCUUUCAUCAUUCUGCUCCACUAUCUCCAUCUUGCUUGCUCUCGCCUCUUGCAACCAUUGCUGCUAUCAGAAAUAGAGUGAUACAAAGGAAGUGAAAAAUAAAAGCUGAGAAGAGAGAUAGAAAGAAGAGAAGAGAAGAAAGAGGGGUGCAGAAGAUAGAGAGAGAACCACGGAGCCGGCGAGUUUCCGGCGACCGCCUCCGGCACGUGCUCGCCUUCAUCCACAUAGCGGAAGAUGUAGAAACCCUUGGUGGUGUCGGAUUGGUCAACUGAGUGACAGUGGUUCGUAAUUCGCAUGACGAUUCGAGGGUUCAGAGGUGGUAGUGACGAGUUCCGAUGAGUCUAGGUGAUUCCGACAAGGUUAAACCUUACGGCCAACGACAACAAUCGACCGCUGCCAUGCUCACAUCCCUGCAAUUGGCUUUCGCACGUCAGAUUGCCAUGCUGCAUGUUUCUUUCAUUGUUUUGUGUAUUUUUUUCCAGAUUUUAAAGUUUUGUUCUAUGUCUGACAUGUAUUUGCAGAAUUGCAGGUGAAACGUGGGGUUGGUGUAGAAGACUACAUGAAAAUCUUAUUCGAUCCGCAAGGAUAGUACUUGAUGCGUACAGUUACCCGAAAGAUUCAGAGAAGAUCAUGCGACAAACGGGUCUCGCUAGAAGCCAGAUUGCAGACUGCAGACUGGUUUAUAAACGAACGCGUGUGCACGCCUUUGGAAUAAUGGUUGAAAUGUACAAAGAAGAGUUCGGUGAUGAAGAGGUGAACUGUGAAUCUUCACCAGAACAGGCUGCAAGUUUUUGAUUUUGGUUUGGCUUGAUCCACUUUAGAUGAAGAAAGCCAAGAAUGCGAUCUUGAACCAACACUACGUGGGAGGUAUAAACUAGUAUAUAUUAAAACAAAAUUAGUGUGUUAUAGUAACUUUUUCUCUGUUUUUUUACCUUUUCAAGUUUGAUUUUCACCCUUACACUUUAAAUAAUAUGUCUUUGAUUCAAUAGUUUCAUUUUCUUUUUAUAAUUUUCGUUGGUUAGUAAAAAAACAAAAUCCAUGAUAUAAUUUCUUUGAAAAGCAGAGGGAUCGAGCCGGUACCCAACGAAAACAUCAGUACCGGUAUUGUACUAUUAGAACCGUUACUGGUAUUCGUGUAUUAUGGUUUUUAAUCGAUGUAAAAUCUGUGUCGACAUCCUUUAGAACUUAUCACGCUUUUAUUUAUUAAGUUCCCUCUUUCGGUUGCUAUAUCGAGUGUUGAUACCGAAUCAACAUCGAUAAGAUUCCAUACAUUAACAUCAUUUUUACCACUUCAUCUACAUUUCUAUUUAAAUUUAUUAAAAGUCGGACCGCCCCACCGCCGAAUUCCAGCGGGGCCCACUUGUUUAAUCAUAGAUUAAUUAAUUUUUAAAUUUUAAAUGUAUGGAAAUUAAAAACAUGUGGGACGUUGUUGAAGAGGGGUUAUAGUGUAAGCAUGU
rnacentral:lncRNA from 1 species